rnacentral:rRNA from 1 species
AGUGAGGAAUAUUGCACAAUGGAGGAAACUCUGAUGCAGCAACGCCGCGUGGAGGAUGACGCAUUUCGGUGUGUAAACUCCUUUUAUAUGUCAAGAAAAUGACGGUAGCAUAUGAAUAAGCACCGGCUAACUCCGUGCCAGCAGCCGCGGUAAUACGGAGGGUGCAAGCGUUACUCGGAAUCACUGGGCGUAAAGGACGCGUAGGCGGGAUGCCAAGUCUGAUGUGAAAUCCUAUGGCUCAACCAUAGAACUGCAUUGGAAACUGGUAACCUAGAGUAUGGGAGGGGGAGAUGGAAUUAGUGGUGUAGGGGUAAAAUCCGUAGAUAUCACUAGGAAUACCUAAAGCGAAGGCGAUCUCCUGGAACAAUACUGACGCUAAGGCGUGAAAGCGUGGGGAGCAAACGGGAUUAGAUACCCCGGUAGUCCACGCCCUAAACGAUGUUCACUAGUCGUCGGGAUGCUUGUCAUCUCGGUGAUGCACUUAACAGAUUAAGUGAACCGCCUGGGGAGUACGGUCGCAAGAUUAAAACUCAAAGGAAUAGACGGGGACCCGCACAAGUGGUGGAGCAUGUGGUUUAAUUCGAAGAUACGCGAAGAACCUUACCUAGCCUUGACAUUGAAGAAAUAGACCAGAGAUGGACUAGUGCCCUUCGGGGAAUCUGAAAACAGGUGCUGCACGGCUGUCGUCAGCUCGUGUCGUGAGAUGUUGGGUUAAGUCCCGCAACGAGCGCAACCCUCGUCAAUAGUUGCCAGCAGGUUAAGCUGGGCACUCUAUUGAGACUGCCUUCGCAAGGAGGAGGAAGGUGAGGACGACGUCAAGUCAUCAUGGCCCUUAUGGCUAGGGCUACACACGUGCUACAAUGGGGCGUACAGAGUGUUGCGAUACCGCGAGGUGGAGCCAAUCACUUAAAGCGUCUCUCAGUUCGGAUUGGAGUCUGCAACUCGACUCCAUGAAGCUGGAAUCACUAGUAAUCGUAGAUCAGCAAUGCUACGGUGAAUACGU